ensembl:lncRNA
GUCAUUUCUUUCUUGCCUUAAUUCUGCCUUCAGUUUGUUCACAUAUUCUUUGAACACCUCAAAUUUCUGCUUCCUUUGGCAUUGAAUGUUGUCUCUUUGGAUGACCAUGUCUGACAGUAUACUUAUCAGACUUUUCUUUUCCCUCUGUGUCGUUUGGGUUUUGACAACGUUUUAUCUCAUGAUUUUGACUUUCUAUCCCCUUUCUAUUGUGCGGAAAUCGGCUUCUAUAGUUCUGUGAAUGCGUAACUCCAGCCAAUCCAAAGACAGGGUUUGUAACCAAUUAGAUGUGGAGAUACCGUGGUGACUGGCUCCGCCCCCUUACUGUCAAAAAGAACAACAGCGAGCCCAUAGAAAACACCUUCAAGCACGAGCAGAGAGUAGCCUCGCGAGCGAGGAAGUUCACAUUCCGCAGACUUUUGCUCUCGCGAGACAGCUUGCGGAUGUUUGAUUUACGCGCGCGCAUAAACCUGAUUUGCGCCCUCGAAUUCUGACAGUGAUUUGCCACCAUAGUAGUAGCUGGUUGUCAUCUAUGGUCUACUACGCUUACAGUGAGGUGUCAUUUGUCUUUUGCCUUUGUCUUUCUAUCCCUUUCUAUGGACUUUUGCUCGCGACUGAUUUAAGCGAGCGCAUGAUUUGCGCUCUUGAAUUUUGACACUGAUUUGCCACUAUACAGAUGGCAGUCAUGAGGAUAAUCACGCGUGCGCGUCCUACAUUAGAAGGCGGAAGAGUCUACGGCCGACGGGGGGGCGACUCUGCAUCCCCAGGUGAUUCCGCCCACUCUUGUCUGUACUUUUGCAUCCGCUUUCGUUCAAAGCUGGACACGGGGUGGUACCUGAAGCUGCCUCCGCCAUUCUUUCAAAUCGACACUCCAAGAGACCCGCCCUCCUCUGACUCUGAUUGGUUUCUUUCAGAAUCACGGCCAAUCACACCAACAAUGGCAGCGAGUAUUACCCUACCAGGGGCUGAACAGGACGAAUGUUCACAGAAUUCGGGGGGGAUUAUUUGCAUGGGAUGCUGCAGACAACUUGUAAAAUACGGGACAAAUCCCAUCCCGCAUUGAUUCAAAACGGGACCCGCUAUUUUAUUCUCAAAUAUUAGAUAGAUUCCCUUUUUUAAGGGACUGGUGGCAACCCUACAUACACCUAACUCCGCAUGUCCAUAAAAUAGUACCAUUACAUUACACUGUGUCUCUCUAAAGGUUUCUGCCAUUUAUUCUCCCCAUCGAAUGCUUUUUCAUUGUUUGGGCCACCGUCGGCCCUAUAUAUCUUUAAAUGUGCCUGCUGGCAUGAUGCUUCAUGGAAUGCAUCAUCAUCCAAUGAGAUGUUGGUGGCAAAAAACAAGCCCAAAGAGGCUAAUUGAUACGAAUUAAUAGUAAUAGAUAUAUUUACUGCAGCUUAUGUAUCAUAUGUAUGUGUAGAUGACCAUAUAGACCUAGGAGUUGUAUUAUGUGUGUGUCUGAAUAUGUGUAAGGGCAGAUCAUUAUGUAUAUAUAUAACUAUAUAUAUAUAUAUAGUUAUAUAUAGAUAUAUAGUUAUAUAUAUAUAACUAUAUAUAUAUAGUUAUAUAUAUAUAUAUAUAACUAUAUAUAUAUAUUAGUUAUAAUCAGACAUUUGAUCAAUUGAAGCAGUGAAAGAUGAAACAUCCAGAAGUUUAUUAAGCGCUGAAUAAACAAACAGAACUUUACGAAGAGCACGAUAUGCACCAGAUGCAGGCCUUCCUCUGCAUCGCAACACUAUACGAACAUGUACAGUAUGAGAGUACAGUCCGUGGGACAGUGUGUGAGACAGUCUGCGGUUGGACAGUCAAUCCUCGGCUACAGCGUGUGGUGUUCACGUUACGUUAGGGCUCGAGAAAAUCUUCUUGUAAAUAAAUGAUUCCUUGUCUUCAGCAUUGAUCGCACUCUUAUAGGACGUCAUCGUUAGAUUAGAUUAAUCUAACCAAUAUCGCUACUUCAUCAAUGAGGAAGAGAGAUGCCCUUUAACCGGGGGAGUGGUUUUUCGAUGUGUUGCUAUGGUGAUUUAGCCAAACCUGCUUCGGGAACCGAAAAGCCUGAUCUACCGUUUACGUCAUCUCAGUUAGCCAUGUACGAGGAACAGGGCCCAGGAUUAAUAUAAUUUAGCAAACAACAUGGAGAAAUGGUGUUUUUGAACUUUCAAAAAUAUGGCAAAAUCUUUGAAUCUGUAUUGUAAAAUUAUUUUAUAUUCAGCAUGAUGCUGAUGCUUUGAUUAAUUUAUCAACAAACACCGUCCUUACCUGCGUGUCCGAUACUGCAGCCGUUUGGCGCUCAGCACUGCACGACCACCAAGAGGAGGAGUGGGGGUAGAGGGAGGGGCGGGGCGGGGCUUCGUUCUUUCAUAAGAACUUCGUUCUUUCAUAAGAACUCAAAGAAAUGCCAGUCUGAUAUCAAAACACACUUGCUUGAUGACAGAGAGAGUAAUUUUCAUUUGAAAUAUUAAUGAAUGAAGAAAACAAUGGGCUCCAGCAGAAGGGGCACUUUUCUCAUCUAGGGCAAAAGGGCUGGUGCUUGAGCACCACUAGGGGUCUAUCUGUGCACGUGCCUGUAUGGAGAUAUGGUCUUUUGAACUUGUAAUUACAGGGUUUUUACUUUGAAGAAAUCUCCAAAUCUGUGCAGUAAAAAUAUUUCACUUUUCUUACAAUAGUAGUCAGAGAUGUCCUUAACACAUGUAUGUUAGUCUUUUUUAGAAUUAUUGAGAAAAGUAUUUUUAUUGCAGUUCAAACUUUGAGAAAUGGUCCUUUUGAACUUGAAACUUAGGAUAUAAAUAUAGAAUAAUUACUUUACUUUGUACUGUAAAAUUAUUCAUUUUUUUGUACAACAGUAGUCAUAAUGGUCCUGAACACACAUACUUCAGUCAUUGUCCAGAAUAUUUGAUUAAAUAGCUUUUAUUUCGGUUACUUGUUCAAUACCGUAAAUAUCAGCAUACACUAAAAUUCAAGCGUCGGCUGAGUUGACCGCAGUUAAAUUAUGCAAAGACUCAAAUUGUAAGUACAGGUAGUUGAAUGUGGUUCUGUCGAAUCUACAUAGUUGUUAAUGAUUGUUACCUGCUUACAUUUAGGUUUACUUGAGGCAAAUUAAAGGGAAUAUUGUAUCGAGCUAUGUUAACACUGAGCUAGCUAGCUAUUUUCUCCAGUGAGCAAGAGUGUGAAGGAGCAAAUUCUAAAUACAAGAAAUAACUAUUGACAUAUCUCUUUAUUCUUUGCUUCAAUAUUGAUGUAGUGUUUUGAAACAAUAAUAUAAUUUCCUACAGAAUGUUGUGGUUUAUAAUCAUUUAAUGCUAGUGGAAAAAAAAUGUCAUAUGUCUCUCAUAACUAGUUAUUGUACUGGUAUGUCAUUCUGUUCAUUGACCAGAUGGAUAUCAGUUUGUUGUUUUAUUUCUUCAACUGUGGAAUAAAUGUGUAGGCAUUUGUUGUUACUGUAGGUAAUUUGUUGUUACUCCAAGGCUUAGCCUAAACGAGAGUACUUCAUGAGGUCUUCAUCUCAAGUCAAACUUAUAUACAAAAUAUAAGUAACCAAAACUAUAGAGCCAAAUCACACUCUUUCUGAUUGAACCACGCGCAGACAUACUUCUCCCAAAGGAGAAUCCUAGAAACAUGGUGAUGUUUAUUGAGACAAAUAGUCACUAACUCGUGUGUACUUAUCAAGACUAUCAUGUAGUGUUGGUAGUUUUUUUGCAAAGUUUAUAAGAUUGAAUUUCAAGGAAAUCUUUAGGCUGGGACAAAGAAUUUCAGGAUACGUUGUGUUAUAAGUGGCUUUAAUAAAAAAUAAAAAUUGUGAUGCAAAGGUCUCCUGAGGCUUCACAAUACAGACCUAUGCUUCCGCUCAAGAACCCCGAAAAAAGUAAUCCAUCAGGUUAUAUACAUUUUCCAUCAUAGCCAUCAUCAUUCCACGCUAUCACUCUGUCCUCCUUCUACAAAAACGGAGCUCCCUGACUUUGGAGCUUGUCUCCAAAUUCCUGCGAGCUACUUCUUGUGAGCCGUUGGUUCAGUGUCUUUCGACUGGGCAUCUUUAAGUUACUUAAAAACAUAUAAUGCAAUAUCUCCAGUCAUAUGUUGUGGCCUGCAUUUAGAUUUACUGGGGGGCCCUCUUCCUAAAACUCCGUAAUUUCCAUGUAAAUGUACAUCAAUUCAAAACUUUUAGGCUAAAUAUGGUUUACUCAUAUGUUACUUAUACAUAAUGUCACAAGGCUGUUAUCCAGUCUUUCUUGUUUCUGACUGGCUGAGUAUAGUAAUUUACACUAAGACCUUCUUUGUAAGCAUACUAACACAGUCUUUAGGCACCAUGCAGCUAUAAUAUGCCUUUAUUGAAAGAAUAGCAUCUUAGAAUAAUUCUAAGAGAAGGAUAUAGCAUAUCUAUUUAAAAAGUCCUAUCUGACCUUUGUGUUGAAAUAUAUACGCUAACCCAAUUUACAAAUUAAGGAAUAAAAAGUUUUAGAAUGCCAACUGUUGCUAUACAUAUUUGGCCACCUUAUUAGAUUUUACUAGCAAAAGAGUUUAAUUAAAAAGCAAUGUUUUUAUAAAAUGUUCCACCUUUGUCUAUACCCCUUUCCAUAGGUUAGAGGCAUUUGGAAGAAAAUGGGUGUAUUUAAAGAAGGAAAUCGAGCUCCGAGGAAAGACUAAUGGUCAAUGUUGGGUGGAAUGACAGCCUUUGUCAAAGCCAUGGCAAUAUCAAGAGUACAUACUAUUUCUCAGAAUUUUGGUCUGAUCUCCCUAUAACUUCUUUUGGCCAAGAUAAUACAACAAUGCCAUGUCAAGUUCUACACUGCUGUAACUACUUGCCAGUUGGAAAGAGAGCAAAGUUAUAUAUGUUUUUAUAUAUAUAAGGGCUGUGGCAGAGAUGAAUGCAAUAACAUUUUUUUUACGUUUGUUUACCGCGGUAGUGAGUUACAUCAAGGUGGAGAGAGCUUUUAGCAUUGGAAGUAAAGCAAAAAUAGGCGCGACGUACAGCGGAGAACUGUGCAGAGGAAUUACUCCACGUGUCAAACAGAAGGGGGGUGAGUGUCAAACGGACCACUUAAAGCACUGCUAUGCUAAGCUUGCUGCUAUGCUACUUCCAUCUGAAAAUAUAACAUUACCCUGCGUGGCACGCAGGUCUGCAGAGGACCACCACUGUGUCCCUGACCAUCCUUGCUAACGGCCUUGCUAAAUGUGGGGAGAUUGUUGGCACUUCAAAAACAGCCGUUAAAUUAUGGAGAGUUGAGAGCAAAGUGCAGAGUUGCAACACCUGUUGGAAUUCUGCCUCCAAGAUGAUCAAAUGUGUGUAGUUUUGUGUUUAAAAUGACGUUAACAUUUAAACAAGUGUCUAAAAUGCACGCUUUCUAAAGUGAUUACUCAUUACGUUUUACGUCUUUAAAAGAAAAACAAACAUUCAUUAAAAAUAACAACCGCCAUUAAUUAGUUAAUUUUUAAAAAUUCUAUUCACAGCCCUAAAAUGACUACAUUUGACUACAGAAACACUUCCAAAUGUUUUGUGUUUAAAAUGUAUGGCAGGAUCAUUCACAUACAGAAUACAGGUCUCUCAAUUCUCUUCAUGGAGGCUGGGCUUCCAGCAUCCACAGCAGUGGUAGCAGCAUCGAUAGCAAUAAUGCUGCAACUGACAGAGGAGCCCACUGGACGUCUCUGGAGCUACCUGAGUUUCUUCUUUUAUUAUCGGCGCUUGGUACAUUUUGGCAAAAGCAUGUUCCGUCAACGGGAAUGUUGCAUUCUCUUUGGUUGUAUUAACCUGGUUGGUUUGUUUAGCCUUGUAACUAGUUGUCACUGUCCCUGACACUCCAUUAACACUUAGUUUCUCAAAUUGAACUUCACAUUGUCCAAGCUGUGUGUAUUUGUCAUUGUUUUUUUUGCGGCCUCUCCCGAAGUUACUCUGGGAUGUCAUGUCUUUACAUAACUCUGGUUUCUGUAUCUCCUCUAAGAGUUUCUUUUCUUUUUGGGACCACGUUAUCUUGACAAAGCGAUCAAUCACAUUGAUUCUUUUCUCAAGGUAGUUUCUCAUUUCAUGACUCAUGUGCUUCAUCUGAUCAAUUUCCAUCCGUUCCAUUUUUGUGUCCUUCCAGAGCUUUCGCAAAUAAUGUCUUUUUGACAUUUUCACAUCUGUAAAAUCAACAGUAGACGCCGCCAAUGUUUUUGCAAGUUUAGUAAUUUGAUCAUUUUUUACCUCUUCAUUGUUGAGUAUCAGCAUAUCUUCCCUCUUAGUUAAUAAGUAUUUGUCUUUUAUUCCAAAAUAAUGUGUGUCUCCUAACUUCCACUGAUGUUUUUGAGUCUGAUUGGUCACAUUAGGGUGUUUUUCACCCUUCUCAUGUUCAAAUUGUAUAAGUUUAAUAAAAUAUGGUUUCUCGUCAUUGUCCUUUUGAAGCCAUUCUAUUACGACCUCAGUUUGUACUGCCUUGUCAAUCUUAAUUGUCACCAUUUGUUUCUUUGGUUUUGGCGUCAAGUCAAAAGGGAGCCUGUCCCUAUAGAUCUUCCUAGAUGUAUGCAUAUCCAUUUUGUAGUCCUUUUGUCUCCUUGGAUUAAAUUGAAUGAUUUUUGGUCUCCUGGGUUGUAUGAGGUGAAUUGACCUAGAGAACUUGGCAGCUCCAAUCUCUUCCUUCUUGUUGAGAUCCCCCCUCCAAAGUUCCAGUUCCUGUCUUCCAGCCAUUACACUCGUCUUCAUUGUUUCCAGUUCUUGUUUUCGUCUAUUGAAAUCAUCUUUCUUGAGUUCAAGUUUAUCUUGUUUUAAGAUAAUAAUGUCCAUGUCGACCUUUAACUUGUCUUUUUCUGCAUCAAGCUUAAGGAUCAAAUCCUUAAUGUAGCCUCUCGCUCUGUUUAUCUCAAUAAACAUAUUUUCUCCGAGUUCUUUCUGUUUAUGAAUCUCCAUCUUUGUGGUUUCCAGUUCGAUUUGCUCCCUCUUUAUAUCUUGUUGCUCUUGUUCUAAUAUGUCUCUUUGUUUCAGAAUGUCACACUUCAUCAGCUCCAAGUCCAGUUUUUCUGUCUUCAUUUUCUCACUCUCUCUGUCGAGGUCAUUUCUUUCUUGCGUUAAUUCUGCCUUCAGUUUGUUCACAUAUUCUUUGAACACCUCAAAUUUCUGCUUCCUUUGGCAUUGAAUGUUGUCUCUUUGGAUGACCAUGUCUGACCGUAUACUUAUCAGACUUUUCUUUUCCCUCUCCAUCAGCUCGGUGGAACAAGCCACACUUUCUUUCUGUACAUUUAGAGCUGCAAGCUUUUGUUUCAAUUCAGUGUACAGCUCUACUACAUCUUCACUAUGUAGUUGUAAUUUUUUCCUCUUUUCUUUCUUGUCUUCCUUCAUCCUUUUAGUCAGCGUUUUAAGUUGUCCUUUAAAAGUUUCUAUUGAUUUCAUUUCAUUCAAGAGAUGAGCUUCUCUUAUUUUCAGUUCAGACCUUUCUCCUUCCAAUCUGACCUUCUCAUUGUCCAACCUGUGUCUGUCCAUGUCAGCACUACUCUUCAUCUGACUGAGUUGUUCUUUCUCUCCAUUGAUGGAGUUAAUAUCAGCUCCAAUCUCUUCUUUCUUCUUGGUGAGAUCCUCCCUCCAAAGUUCCAGUUCCUGUCUUCCAGCAAUUACACUCGUCUUUAUUGUUUCCAGUUCUUGUUUUUGUCUAUUGGAAUCAUCUUUCUUGAGUUCUAGUUUAUCUUGUUUUAAGAUAAUAAUGUCCAUGUUGACCUUUAACCUGUCUUUUUCUGCAUCAAGCUUAAGGAUCAAAUCCUUAAUGUAGCCUCUCGCUCUGUUUAUCUCAAUAAACAUAUUUUCUCCGAGUUCUUUCUGUUUAUGAAUCUCAAUCUUUGUGGUUUCCAGUUCGAAUUGCUCCCUCUUUAUAUCUCGUUGCUCUUGUUCUAAUAUGUGUCUUUGUUUCAGAAUGUCACACUUUAUCAGCUCCAAGUCCAGUUUUUCUGUCUUCAUUUUCUCACUCUCUCUGUCGAGGUCAUUUCUUUCCUGCC